rnacentral:misc_RNA from 1 species
GGAAGUAAAAGUCGUAACAAAGUUUCCGUAGGUGAACCUGCGGAAGGAUCAUUCAUAAUAAAGUGUUUCAUGGCACUUUUUAAAAAUCCAUAUCCACCUUGUGUGCAAUGUUAGAUCUCGUCAAUCUUGGCGAGAUUUUUAUACAUCAACUCAUUCUUUAACUAAUUUGUCUGAAAAAUAUUAUGAAUACUUAAUUCAAAAUACAACUUUCAACAACGGAUCUCUUGGCUCUC